rnacentral:lncRNA from 1 species
AUGGCUGCCGCAUGCCGCUGCCUCUCCCUCCUGCUCCUGUCCACCUGUGUGGCUCUGUUGCUGUAGCCACUGCUGGGUGCCCGGGGAGCCCCGUUGGAGCCAUUGUACCCAGGGGACAAUACCACACCGGAGCAGAUGGCCCAGUACACAGCUGAGCUCCGUAGAUACAUCAACAUGCUGACCAAGCCUAGGCAUGUGCCAUGGACAAGGAGAGAGAUCCCAGCCCCUGGGACCCUGGGCCCACUCCACAUUCCUGGCCACACCCUAUCCCCAGCCCAAGCCCCAUCUCCAGCCCCAGUCCCAGCCCCUUCCAGGCCACUCUUGGGGAAACAGAGCAUCUGUGCUGACCAGGCCUGGGCCCAUGUGCCCUGGGCAAGAGGGUGCCUACAGGCGGAUAUGAAACCGGUGGGCUGGCACCUGGGCACAGUGCUUCCAGGUAUGGAGAAAGAGACAAAGAGGACACGCUGGCCUUCUCAGAGUGGGGUCUUCCCAUGCUGCUGCCCCCAGAGAGCUCAGCCCGCUGGACUUGUAACACUACCUCCCGCCCCCUACCACUCCACGGGCAGUGCCAGCCCAGCUCUCCCCUCCACACUGUUGGCUCUGGCCGAAGCUCACUCCCUGUUCCUGCACAGGCUCAAUAAAGCAAGUCAAAGCACA